rnacentral:rRNA from 1 species
AGUGAACGCUGGCGGUAGGCCUAACACAUGCAAGUCGAACGGCAGCACAGAGGAGCUUGCUCCUUGGGUGGCGAGUGGCGGACGGGUGAGGAAUACAUCGGAAUCUACUCUGUCGUGGGGGAUAACGUAGGGAAACUUACGCUAAUACCGCAUACGACCUACGGGUGAAAGCAGGGGAUCUUCGGACCUUGCGCGAUUGAAUGAGCCGAUGUCGGAUUAGCUAGUUGGCGGGGUAAAGGCCCACCAAGGCGACGAUCCGUAGCUGGUCUGAGAGGAUGAUCAGCCACACUGGAACUGAGACACGGGCCAGACUCCUACGGGAGGCAGCGGUGGGGAAUAUUGGACAAUGGGCGCAAGCCUGAUCCAGCCAUACCGCGUGGGUGAAGAAGGCCUUCGGGUUGUAAAGCCCUUUUGUUGGGAAAGAAAUCCAGCUGGCUAAUACCCGGUUGGGAUGACGGUACCCAAAGAAUAAGCACCGGCUAACUUCGUGCCAGCCGCCGCCGUAA